ensembl:lncRNA
CCGCAGAGAGGAGCUGGCCCUGCGCCUUGACCUGACGGAAGCCCGGGUGCAGGUCUGGUUCCAAAACAGAAGGGCAAAGUGGAGGAAACGUGAAAAGAAUGAAAUUCUGGGGACUGUUCCGGGAAUCUCCUUAACACACCCACUUGGUCUAUUUCUGGAUGUUCCACUGAGUCAUUCUCCCCUCCUAGAUCACACGUGGAGGUCAAUGCCUCUUUCAACAUUGGCUGUGCCAUCCAUGUCCCCAGCUUUUAGUCCUUCAACCUUAGGGCCAUUUGGCCUCAGCAGUCUUACGUGGACUUCCCUCUUCAGAAAUCCCAUAUUAAAUCCACAUUUUGGAAGGUUUCUCAAUGCUUUAAAUCCUCUCGUGACAACAGCUUCAGUACUAAUGAAAGCUCCUGGACCCCCGUCAGACCCUGUUCUCACUGCCUUCACUGAUCCAGCAGCAGUUGAAAGGAAAACGUCAAGCAUUGCAGCACUAAGAUUCAAAGCGAAGGAACAUUCAGCACAAAUCCCUCAAUUAAACCUCAUCUCCAGUCUUACAAACACUAACAAAGAACUUUGUUAGGAGCUCUCCCACAGACUACAGCCACGGAGGGGAAAGUGAAUGCCUUCUCCAAUAAGUAGCUCUCAUUAGAGAGACACAUUUAAAAAAAGAAAACACACACACACAGAGCUCUAUUUCCUGCAGCUUCAGUAACAGACUGAAAAGAAAUAAACCUGCUAAACAUUGUUUUCCUUCA